rnacentral:misc_RNA from 1 species
GCAUUCUCUCUUGCAACCUGCAAAAAGCAUCCAUGGAGAAAGGCAAUGUCAAAUGUGAAGUUACAUGGUGAAGACGCAAAUCAGGUACACAGAAGAAAAAGAAAAGUUACAUCUGUGUAGUAUCUAAGGAGCUAUGGGUCAUAAGCAAGGUUUUCAAAACCAGCCUGAUCAUUAAAUAGGUAAAAGAAAAGGGCUAAAGAUUUAAGGUUCAACCAGAGUCAAACCAAGGUUUAACCAAUAUAUUAUCAAAUCAGUCAUCUUUUAAAAGGCAAUAAUAAUACAUUGUUACAAUCAUUAAUUUGAUAUAUUUUAUAAAUAAUUAUUAA